rnacentral:lncRNA from 1 species
UGAGAGAGAGUUUGUGAGGAUUUGGUUUUCUGGUCAGUGCGAAUGAAUCCAAGAAAGUUUUGAUGGAAGGAUAAAGAUGGUUAUAUAGGUGGUUAAAAUAUCACGGGGAUUCUUGAGUUAUUGAAAUUCAGUUAGGAUCAGUUGCUCACAUUGUGGAAUUCGAGGGUGAGUUAGUUAUAAUUUUGUUUUUGAUUUGUUGUUG